AUGGAGGUAGCCUGUUGGAACGUUAGGGGGCUCAACAGCCCCGCUAAGAAAAAGGCGCUUAGGGAGUUCGUGGACACGGUGCGUGUUGUGAUCGUGUGUAUCUUGGAGUCUAAACUCGAAAGAGUCGACCAAUUUGUGAUUAUGCAAUGCUUAGGGCCAUCUUAUGAUGGCUUCUCUUAUCUUCCCGAUUCGGAGAUGAGAGGUGGUAUUAUAUUGGGAUGG
rnacentral:rRNA from 1 species